UACGUAGGGAGCAAGCGUUGUCCGGAAUCAUUGGGCGUAAAGCGCGCGUAGGCGGCCCUGUAAGUCCGUUGUGAAAGUCAAAGGCUCAACCUUUGAAAGCCGAUGGAUACUGCCGGGCUAGAAUCCGGAAGAGGCGAGUGGAAUUCCUGGUGUAGCGGUGGAAUGCGCAGAUAUCAGGAGGAACACCAAUAGCGAAGGCAGCUCGCUGGGACGGUAUUGACGCUGAGGCGCGAAAGCGUGGGGAGCAAACAGG
rnacentral:rRNA from 1 species